rnacentral:rRNA from 1 species
GACGAACGCUGGCGGCGUGCUUAACACAUGCAAGUCGAACGGUGAAGGUGGGAGCUUGCUCCUGCUGGAUCAGUGGCGAACGGGUGAGUAACACGUGAGUAACCUGCCCUUGACUCUGGGAUAAGCGUUGGAAACGACGUCUAAUACCGGAUACGAGCUUCAGCCGCAUGGCUAGGAGUUGGAAAGAUUUUUCGGUCAAGGAUGGACUCGCGGCCUAUCAGCUUGUUGGUGAGGUAAUGGCUCACCAAGGCGACGACGGGUAGCCGGCCUGAGAGGGUGACCGGCCACACUGGGACUGAGACACGGCCCAGACUCCUACGGGAGGCAGCAGUGGGGAAUAUUGCACAAUGGGCGCAAGGCUGAUGCAGCAACGCCGCGUGAGGGACGACGGCCUUCGGGUUGUAAACCUUUUUUAGCAGGGAAGAAGCGCAAGUGACGGUACCUGCAGAAAAAGCACCGGCUAACUACGUGCCAGCCGCCGCCGUAAGAC